rnacentral:rRNA from 1 species
UACGAAGGGGGCGAGCGUUGUUCGGAUUUACUGGGCGUAAAGGGCGCGCAGGCGGUUCAGUAAGUCGGGUGUGAAAUCUCCGUGCUCAACACGGAGCGGCCACCUGAUACUGCUGUGACUCGAGUCCGGUAGGGGAGUGUGGAAUUCCCGGUGUAGCGGUGAAAUGCGCAGAUAUCGGGAGGAACACCAGUAGCGAAGGCGGCACUCUGGGCCGUGACUGACGCUGAGGAGCGAAAGCGUGGGUAGCAAACAGG